GCAGAACCAGCAGAUUUACUUCGGUAAUGACGCUGGGGACGCGAGCGGCGGAUGGGUGAGUAACACGUGGGGAACCUGCCCCAUAGCCUGGGAUACCACUUGGAAACAGGUGCUAAUACCGGAUAAGAAAGCAGAUCGCAUGAUCAGCUUAUAAAAGGCGGCGUAAGCUGUCGCUAUGGGAUGGCCCCGCGGUGCAUUAGCUAGUUGGUAAGGUAACGGCUUACCAAGGCGAUGAUGCAUAGCCGAGUUGAGAGACUGAUCGGCCACAUUGGGACUGAGACACGGCCCAAACUCCUACGGGAGGCAGCAGUAGGGAAUCUUCCACAAUGGACGCAAGUCUGAUGGAGCAACGCCGCGUGAGUGAAGAAGGUUUUCGGAUCGUAAAGCUCUGUUGUUGGUGAAGAAGGAUAGAGGUAGUAACUGGCCUUUAUUUGACGGUAAUCAACCAGAAAGUCACGGCUAACUACGUGCCAGCAGCCGCGGUAAUACGUAGGUGGCAAGCGUUGUCCGGAUUUAUUGGGCGUAAAGCGAGCGCAGGCGGAAGAAUAAGUCUGAUGUGAAAGCCCUCGGCUUAACCGAGGAACUGCAUCGGAAACUGUUUUUCUUGAGUGCAGAAGAGGAGAGUGGAACUCCAUGUGUAGCGGUGGAAUGCGUAGAUAUAUGGAAGAACACCAGUGGCGAAGGCGGCUCUCUGGUCUGCAACUGACGCUGAGGCUCGAAAGCAUGGGUAGCGAACAGGAUUAGAUACCCUGGUAGUCCAUGCCGUAAACGAUGAGUGCUAAGUGUUGGGAGGUUUCCGCCUCUCAGUGCUGCAGCUAACGCAUUAAGCACUCCGCCUGGGGAGUACGACCGCAAGGUUGAAACUCAAAGGAAUUGACGG
rnacentral:rRNA from 1 species